rnacentral:rRNA from 1 species
GAUUGAUUUAAAGGGCCGCGGUAAUUUGACCGUGCGAAGGUAGCAUAGUCAGUAGUCUUUUAAUUGAAGGCUUGUAUGAAAGGUUGGACGAGGGAUAGGCUGUCUCUUUUGUGUAGUUUGAAUUUAACUUUUGAGUGAAAAGGCUUAAAUUUCUUAGUGGGACGAUAAGACCCUAUAAAACUUGAUAUAAAUUUAAUUAGAUUUGUGAUUUUGGUAAAAAAUAGUCUUGUUGAGUUUAUAUUUCGUUGGGGAGAUGAAGAUAUAACGUGUAACUGUCUUUAAAAUUAAAUAAUUAUAAUUAGUUUAUGAUCCUGCUUUGUGGAUUGAAAGAAUAAGUUACUUUAGGGAUAACAGCGUGAUUUUCUUUGAGAGUUCUUAUCGACAAGAGUAGUUGCGACCUCGAUGUUGAAUUAAAGUUUUAGUUAGAUGUAGCCGUUUAACUGGUGGGUCUGUUCGACCUUUAAAAUUUUACAUGAUUUGAGUUCAAACCGGUGUGAGCCAGG